AUGCUUGUUUUUAUUGCUUGUCUUUUAUUUUUGUUAUUUAUUUAUUUUCAGAAAUGUUGUCUGCCUGCCUGCUUGGGUGGUGGGAAGGCAGAGAUAACAGGUGUGUGUGUGUGUGUGUGUGUGUGUGUGUGUGUGUGUGUGUGUUUGUCAUGGGGACAAGGAGGAUGGGGUAGUGGGUUGCUGAUGGCAAUGCUGCAGAACAUGCUAUCAUGUGAAACAUCCCCUUUAAGACAAGUACACACUUUGUACCCAUCACUUACUCCACCUCUUCUUUUUUUGCUCCCCUGCUUCUCUCCCUAUCUCAGUCUCUCCUGGAGUUUUUGUUUCUUUACACAAACACAUAAACCUUUUUCUCUAAUUGUGUCUUUCUUCCAGCCUUUGACACCAGCUGAAUUUUUCCAAUUCAGCAGUUUUGCUUUACACAAUUUCAGAAUCACUAAGAACAAACCAUCAUUAAUAACACUAAAACCAAAAAGUGCAGCCUUCAAAAAUAAGUAAAUAGAUAAAUAAAUAUUUAAAUAAAGAAAAGUAAAUCAGCAGUAAUUAAUUCUCCAGGUCUCCAGGUGCAGUUCCAAAUACAGAGCUUGACAGUAUUAGCAGGAGAGAGUAAAAAUAUUUAUGUGGAUAGUCAAAGCGUGAUAAUUAAAGAAUGGAUGAGUGAGGGAGAAAACAAGGAGGAGCUGAAUAGACAACAGUAGCAGAAGGAUUAAAAUAGAUAGAUGAGAAUGCAAACUGAGAAAAGACUCUCAAGAGAUAAUUACAAACUCAGCAUGUGUUUUUUCAACACCCCCCUAGCAGCAGAUCACCCCGGUUCAGCAGCCAGAGAUAUCUGAAUUCCUUUGUACUAAUACUUUUUAAUAAUCCUGACUCUAAAGCAUCAAGGUGUGGGUGGAUUUUCACUUUAGUGGGCAGCAAAAUCCUGAUGAAACUUCAAAAUCAUGGCUUAAAAUCUGGUUUUAAUUAUAACAUGAAGUUUUCUCAGUAGGAGUGAAUUGGCAGUAUGACUGUUUGCCUUGAGUACAGACUAUUUAUUAUCCAGAUGCUGGGCUUGUGUUUAUUAAAUCACCUGAUUUAUUUAGUAUGACUUGUGAAAACGUUUUCAUGAAUAAGGUCAAGUUUUAGGAGGAAUUAGGUUCUGCUCAAACAAAUUAAAAAAAGAAAAGAAACUGUGAAAACCGUGACUACUAAAGUAUCAUCUUCACAUAUAAAAAUCACAUAUUGGUGAUUUUAAUUCCCAGUUACUAUUAUUUGUUCUCAAAGUAUUACACGUUGUAUGUCAGUAAUAUUUCAUUCAUCAAGAUUGCAUGUGUGAUCCAAAUGUUCCUUUCAUUAUUUGACAAGUACACAUAACAUACAAGACAUGCCAUCACAGAGCUGGUGAAUGAAAGGAGGAGUUGAUUCCACACUGAAAUACAUCUGAAAUAUUAACAUUAAUAGCUUACUGCCAUCAAACGAGGACAGAACAAAAAAAACUAAACUAAACAUAGAGAAUUUAAAGAUUUAGCUGUCAUUGGUUGAAUGCUAUUAUAAAUCAAUGGACUGAAAGGAGAUUCGCUGAGCUGCACGUUGCACAAAAUCCAACGUGAAUUCAGCCAACAAUCCCUCAGUUCUCUCCGUCUGCUCUGUUUCCCUGCUCUUUCUGUUAAAACCAGAGCUA
rnacentral:lncRNA from 1 species